ACAGGUGGUGCAUGGUUGUCGUCAGCUCGUGUCGUGAGAUGUUGGGUUAAGUCCCGCAACGAGCGCAACCCUUGUCUUAUGUUGCCAGCAUUUGGGUUGGGGACUCAUGAGAGACUGCCGGGGUUAACUCGGAGGAAGGUGGGGAGGACGUCAAAUCAUCAUGCCCCUUAUGUCCAGGGCUUCACCCAUGCUACAAUGGUCGGUACAACGGGCAGCGACCCUGUGAGGGGGAGCGAAUCGCUGAAAGCCGGUCGUAGUUCGGAUUGGGGUCUGCAACUCGACCCCAUGAAGUCGGAGUCGCUAGUAAUCGUAGAUCAGCAAUGCUGCGGUGAAUACGUUCCCGGGCCUUGUACACACCGCCCGU
rnacentral:rRNA from 1 species